UUUUUUUAAAUCCCGGUUUCUACUUUCCGUUGGUUGAAGCAAUUACAGUCAUCUGCCAUCAAACCCUUGAUAUCAGUCUCUCGCUCUCCCUUUAAUCACAGAACUCAUCCAUGCUCGAUCUCCCUCUCACAGAACCCAUCCAGUCGCCGCCACAUCUCGCGUAUCCCAUCUGAUCUCCCUCUAAUCACAAAACCCAUCCAGUCGCCGCCGCAUCUCGAUCUCCCUCUAAUCACAGCACCCAUCAGUCGCCGCAUCUCGAUCUCGGCCUCACUUGCAUCUCAUCAGGAUUUCGGAAGUGAAAUUGAAGCCUCAAUCAAGCAAGCCUCAAUCAAUUGUGAGUUGUGAAUUAUGACUAUAUGAGAUAGUUAGCAAAAACCUUAGAAGGAACCAAGAAAAACAGAACAGAUGGACGUGGUACUAUUAGCUUUGUUAUUUGUUUCAGCUGUACAAAUGAGUGGUGGCGCCUCAAGAUUGAGAAAAACAAGGAAUAUGGAAAGUUAAAG
rnacentral:lncRNA from 1 species